rnacentral:rRNA from 1 species
UCAGGCCUAACACAUGCAAGUCGAACGAACUCUUCGGAGUUAGUGGCGGACGGGUGAGUAACACGUGGGAACGUGCCUUUAGGUUCGGAAUAACUCAGGGAAACUUGUGCUAAUACCGAAUGUGCCCUUCGGGGGAAAGAUUUAUCGCCUUUAGAGCGGCCCGCGUCUGAUUAGCUAGUUGGUGAGGUAAAGGCUCACCAAGGCGACGAUCAGUAGCUGGUCUGAGAGGAUGAUCAGCCACAUUGGGACUGAGACACGGCCCAAACUCCUACGGGAGGCAGCAGUGGGGAAUCUUGCGCAAUGGGCGAAAGCCUGACGCAGCCAUGCCGUGUGAAUGAUGAAGGUCUUAGGAUUGUAAAAUUCUUUCACCGGGGACGAUAAUGACGGUACCCGGAGAAGAAGCCCCGGCUAACUUCGUGCCAGCAGCCGCGGUAAUACGAAGGGGGCUAGCGUUGCUCGGAAUUACUGGGCGUAAAGGGAGCGUAGGCGGACAUUUAAGUCAGGGGUGAAAUCCCGGGGCUCAACCUCGGAAUUGCCUUUGAUACUGGGUGUCUUGAGUAUGAGAGAGGUGUGUGGAACUCCGAGUGUAGAGGUGAAAUUCGUAGAUAUUCGGAAGAACACCAGUGGCGAAGGCGACACACUGGCUCAUU